rnacentral:miRNA from 1 species
UAGCUUAUCAGACUGAUGAAG